GGGUCAAAGCUCAGUGGUAGAGCACCUGCUUUGCAUGCAGAAGGUCCCAGGUUCAAUCCCCAGCAUCUCCA